rnacentral:rRNA from 1 species
AUUGAACGCUGGCGGCAGGCCUAACACAUGCAAGUCGAACGAGUGGCGGACGGGUGAGUAAUGUCUGGGAAACUGCCUGAUGGAGGGGGAUAACUACUGGAAACGGUAGCUAAUACCGCAUACCAUCAGAUGUGCCCAGCUGGGAUUAGCUAGGGGGGGGGGUAAUGGCUCACCUCGGCGACGAUCCCUAGCUGGUCUGAGAGGAUACCCAGUCACACUGAAACUGAGACGCGAUCCAGACUCCUACGGGAGGCGGCAGUGGGGAAUAUUGCACAAUGGGCGCAAGCCGGAUGCAGCCAUGCCGCGUGUGUGAAAAGGGCCUUCGGGUUUUAAAGCACUUUCAGCGAGGAGGCGUUACUCGCAGAAGAAGCACCGGCUAACUCCGUGCCAGCAGCCGCGGUAAUAG